GAUGAAGAACGUAGCGAAAUGCGAUACGUAAUGUGAAUUGCAAAUUCAGUGAAUCAUCGAGUCUUUGAACGCACAUUGCGCCCCCUGGUAUUCCGGGGGGCAUGCCUGUCCGAGCGUCUUUGCUGCCCUCAAGCACGGCUUGUGUGUUGGGCCCCGUCCUCCGAUCCCGGGGGACGGGCCCGAAAGGCAGCGGCGGCACCGCGUCCGGUCCUCGAGCGUAUGGGGCUUUGUCACCCGCUCUGUAGGCCCGGCCGGCGCUUGCCGAUCAACCCAAAUUUUUAUCCAGGUUGACCUCGGAUCAGGUAGGGAUACCCGCUGAACUUAAGCAUAUCAAUAAGCGGAGGA
rnacentral:misc_RNA from 1 species